GGGUGCGAUCAUAUCAGCGUUAAUGCACCGGAUCCCAUCAGAACUCUGCAAUUAAGUGCGCUUGGGCUAGAGUAGUACUGGGAUGGGUGACCUCUCAGGAAGUCCUAGUGUUGCACCCU
rnacentral:rRNA from 1 species